AUUCAUCAUAUUAUGAUGAUCAGUUUUUUUGACAAUAUCCAUACAGAAAUCAUUACAUUUCUGUAAAGUGCAUCUUUGUGGAGAUUUCAAUGCAAGAACAGGUUCUGAGCCUGACUACACUGAUGCGGGAGGUAACCACCACAUAUUUGGACACUCCUCCUUGUACAGUAGCCCUAUUAUAAAUAAUAGAAACAGUCCUGACCAAAUACUGAACAAACAUGGAAAAGAGUUAGUACAUCUCUGUCGAGCCUUAGGCCUGUACAUGCUUAAGAAUCAGAGGGGACCCUUUAGGUCAGUUUACUUACUGCUAAGCUCUUGGGACAAGUGUAGUCGAUUAUGCCAUCACUGACAUUGACCCCUCCUCCAUUAGUGCAUUCACUGUCAGACCACAGACACCAUUGUCAAAUCAACAUGUUUCUGAAGAAAUUAACCAGGAAUAUUCAUUUAAAAACAACAGCCCAAUAAACACUACAACAUAAACCAACCGUACAGGUGGGGUCAAAACAGCCCAAUAAACACUGCAACAUAAACCAACCGUACAGGUGGGGUCAAAACAGCCCAAUAAACUUUACAACAUAAACCAACCGUACAGGUGGGGUCAAAACAGCCCAAUAAACACUACAACAUAAACCAACUGUACAGGUGGGGUCAAAACAGCCCAAUAAACACUACAACAUAAACCAACCGUACAGAUGGGGUCAAAACAGCCCAAUAAACACUACAACAUAAACCAACCAUACAGGUGGGGUCAAAACAGCCCAAUAAACACUACAACAUAAACCAACCGUACAGGUGGGGUCAAAACAGCCCAAUAAACACUACAACAUAAACCAACCGUACAGGUGGGGUCAAAACAGCCCAAUAAACACUACAACAUAAACCAACCAUACAGAUGGGGUCAAAACAGCCCAAUAAACACUACAACAUAAACCAACCGUACAGGUGGGGUCAAAACAGCCCAAUAGACUUUACAACAUAAACCAACCGUACAGGUGGGGUCAAAACAGCCCAAUAAACACUACAACAUAAACCAACCGUACAGGUGGGGUCAAAACAGCCCAAUAAACUCUACAACAUAAACCAACCGUACAGGUGGGGUCAAAACAGCCCAAUAAACACUACAACAUAAACCAACCGUACAGGUGGGGUCAAAACAGCCCAAUAAACUUUACAACAUAAACCAACCGUACAGGUGGGGUCAAAACAGCCCAAUAAACACUACAACAUAAACCAACCGUACAGGUGGGGUCAAAACAGCCCAAUAAACACUACAACAUAAACCAACCGUACAGGUGGGGUCAAAACAGCCCAAUAAACACUACAACAUAAACCAACCGUACAGGUGGGGUCAAAACAGCCCAAUAAACACUACAACAUAAACCAACCGUACAGGUGGGGUCAAAACAGCCCAAUAAACUCUACAACAUAAACCAAUCGUACAGAUGGGCUCCAAACAGUGCAGAGAGAUUCAUUGAAACAUUGAACUCAAAUGAAAUGAUGAACUCUAUACAGGUCUUCAAUAACUCACAAUACCAAAACAAUAAAGGUGUUAAUUCAGCUACUCGAAACAUCAUCUGCAUAUUCCAAAAAGCAGCAUCGAAAGAAAAUUUGAGAAAACCAAAGAAAUGCAACAUCAGAAACAAACAAAAAAAAUGUUUCUGAAAAUGUUUUGAUAGCGAAUGUAAAACAAUUAGAAAACACCUAAAACAAAUGUCAAAUGAAAAACAUAAGCAGCAAAACAACCCAGAGCUACGAUAUGAAUACUCUGAAACAGCAGAAACAUACACUGCAAGAAAUUGAAUUAUACCAACAAGACACUUUACAUUUACAUUUAAGUCAUUUAGCAGACGCUCUUAUCCAGAGCGACUUACAAAUUGGUGCAUUCACCUUAUGACAUCCAGUGGAACAGCCACUUUACAAUAGUGCAUCUA